rnacentral:lncRNA from 1 species
GGGACUCAUAAUAGAGGGACUAUAUCAUGUGCUAACUGCACCUAGAGUUUCAUCUUUUAUUCUACUGGGUUAUCACUACAUAUUGCUAGAUGUCACUGGUGGAUUGUGAGACUCACAAGUAUCAUCUUGAUGUUUAAUGAUCCUUAGUGGGUAGAGUUAGAAUUAUUUCAAUCCAUUAAAAAAUAUUUCAAUGACAUUGUGAUAGAGAUCACAA